UUUAUUUAACCAAAGUUUAAUAGAACUAUGAAACAGAAUGUGGUUCAUUAUGUCAUUCCACGAUAUCAUAGGAGAAUUGUGUUUGACCAUUUUUCUGUUGAGAUUCAUCCAUAGAUUCAGGGCGUCGUUGUUGGAAGCAUACGAAAACUGUGGUUAUCCCGCAACAGUAACAUUAUUCUGUUAUAUAAUUCUAUUUUAAUCACUAAUGAUGCCAUCGUCAUACUUUUAAG
rnacentral:lncRNA from 1 species